GCUCUGUAGAAAAUUCUAGAUUCUCUCAUCUCUCACUCUCUGCCUUCUCCGUCUCCUCCUACUUCCGUCCGCAGCAUUGUUAGCGUGUGAGUGUGCGAGAGUUCUGUCCGACACUCCUUUGCCAACCUUUGCCGAUAUGGGCGUUUCUUAUUCAUGUAGUCGCCGUCGUUGCUUUGUUUGCCAUGGCUGUAUGUAACCUGUAGCCUCCCUCAUCUUCCUCUGUCUUUCAUCAUUGAAGCCUCUUCCUUCUGAUCUGUCUGAGUAACUACAAGGGGGAGACGUGACUGUUGUUCUGGAAAUUUGAUUUUGAAACUUCCUCCUUCUUUUAUGCUGUAAAUUUCGUUCCCUUUCUACUACUGUAAAUUGAGAUAGUGUAGCUGACACUGAACCAUCCGCCAAAUAUUGAGGAGUCUAUUAUUGACUAAAGGUGGAUGAGUUAAGGAUUAAGUAUUCUUUUGAUGUAAUGUUUUAAAUUAGGAAAUUUUAUUUUGUAAGCUUAAUUUAUGUGCUCCACAUAGUCUAUAGCUAAAACCUUUAUUUUGUCAUAUAUUUUUGCUUGGUGGUCGGAAGGAAUUGAAUUCCUGAUUAAUAUGAUAUUUAGUGUAAAA